GGCCACAGUCACAUCACCCUGCAGCCCAAGACUGGUUGCCCACUGAAGCUAAGCAGGGUUGAGCUGGUCAGUACCUGGAUGGGAGACCUCCUGGGAAAAUUAGGUUGCUGUUGGAA
rnacentral:rRNA from 1 species